rnacentral:lncRNA from 1 species
GCGCAUUCUGGGAGCACUGUCCUUGGCAGACAUCAGUAGAAAACAGCCCAGAAACAGAAGUGUAGAUAAGAGAUGUGUCCCAGGGCUGACGCAAUACAAAUUUCAAGGCUGUGGAACCAGGAGAAGGUCUGAGGAACGGAGCUCCCGGAAGUAAAGGCAUUGCCUCACAUUUGAGUACACCUGGCAACAGUACUUAAGGAAGGAAAGGUUUGCACUGGCCCGCAGUCUGAAGGAGGACAGAGGACACAAGGCAAUGAGAGCAGCUCUAGGUGUAGCCGUGGGAGCCCGAUAUAGCUGGACGCGCUGCAUCUGAAGCAUGACUUCAGGAUUUGUGGUCAGAAGCACGAGGUGGAGAAGUCCUGAUACAAUCUUUGUACUGUACGGUUGCCGUCUGGACUUCAUUGACUAUCCCGGAGCGAUCCAGCACAAGUGACAAGUGAAGACCUUGGCUGUGUUUCAGAAGCACAAUUACAACUCUUGGGGUAAAGAGCCUCAGCGACAAGGCCCAGGAAAGCAGGUGUAUUGAGAAUUAGAGAGACUCGGAGCGGGCCCCAGAGGAGAGGUAGGGAGUGGUCCUGGCAGCUGUUGGAUGAAGCAGGUUGGAAG